AGAGUUUGAUCCUGGCUCAGAGCGAACGCUGGCGGCAGGCCUAACACAUGCAAGUCGAGCGGGCGUAGCAAUACGUCAGCGGCAGACGGGUGAGUAACACGUGGGAACGUGCCCUUCGGUUCGGAAUAGCUCCGGGAAACUGGGAUUAAUACCGGAUACGCCCUUACGGGGAAAGAUUUAUCGCCGAAGGAUCGGCCCGCGUCUGAUUAGCUAGUUGGUGGGGUAAUGGCCCACCAAGGCUACGAUCAGUAGCUGGUCUGAGAGGAUGAUCAGCCACAUUGGGACUGAGACACGGCCCAAACUCCUACGGGAGGCAGCAGUGGGGAAUAUUGGACAAUGGGCGAAAGCCUGAUCCAGCCAUGCCGCGUGAGUGAUGAAGGCCUUAGGGUUGUAAAGCUCUUUCGUCAGGGAAGAUAAUGACGGUACCUGAAGAAGAAGCCCCGGCUAACUUCGUGCCAGCAGCCGCGGUAAUACGAAGGGGGCUAGCGUUGCUCGGAAUCACUGGGCGUAAAGCGCACGUAGGCGGGUCUUUAAGUCGGGGGUGAAAUCCUGGAGCUCAACUCCAGAACUGCCUUCGAUACUGAGGAUCUUGAGUCCGGGAGAGGUGAGUGGAACUCCGAGUGUAGAGGUGAAAUUCGUAGAUAUUCGGAAGAACACCAGUGGCGAAGGCGGCUCACUGGCCCGGUACUGACGCUGAGGUGCGAAAGCGUGGGGAGCAAACAGGAUUAGAUACCCUAGUAGUCC
rnacentral:rRNA from 1 species